AUUGAACGCUGGCGGCAGGCCUAACACAUGCAAGUCGAGCGGAUGAAGGGAGCUUGCUCCUGGAUUCAGCGGCGGACGGGUGAGUAAUGCCUAGGAAUCUGCCUGGUAGUGGGGGAUAACGUCCGGAAACGGGCGCUAAUACCGCAUACGUCCUGAGGGAGAAAGUGGGGGAUCUUCGGACCUCACGCUAUCGGAUGAGCCUAGGUCGGAUUAGCUAGUUGGUGGGGUAAAGGCCUACCAAGGCGACGAUCCGUAACUGGUCUGAGAGGAUGAUCAGUCACACUGGAACUGAGACACGGUCCAGACUCCUACGGGAGACAGCAGUGGGGAAUAUUGGACAAUGGGCGAAAGCCUGAUCCAGCCAUGCCGCAUGUGUGAAGAAGGUCUUCGGAUUGUAAAGCACUUUAAGUUGGGAGGAAGGGCAGUAAGUUAAUACCUUGCUGUUUUGACGUUACCAACAGAAUGAGCACCGGCUAACUUC
rnacentral:rRNA from 1 species